CCUUUUCCUAUUCUACCUUUAGGGAGCUCUCUACUGUAGCAGAUACUGAAUUGUACCAGAUCAGUGAUCCAUUUAGUCUAGGAUCCUGUCUUUGGGUGUUGUAGGUGGGAACAGCACUGAGGAGGUUUGAAAGUUCUCCCUCCUGACUCUACCUCAAGGACCUGGCUGGGCACAAAACAAGGAGUCAAGAUACCUCAAGCAAAGUCAGAUUAUCCUUUGAAACUGUGAACAAACCCUGCCUGACAACACAAAGGAAUUUUCCCAUGGAUCAGCUAAAGCUGACUCACAUGAAAGACUUGCCCGAAGUGGUCAUGCCC
rnacentral:lncRNA from 1 species